rnacentral:pre_miRNA from 1 species
UAUAUACUCCCUCCAUCUAGAAAUACUUGUCGGAGGAACGGAUGUAUCUAGAUGCAUUUUAGUUCUACAUACAUUCAUUUCUAUCCAUUUUUACGACAAGUAAUUCUGGACGGAGGGAGUAUAUG